rnacentral:rRNA from 1 species
UACGUAGGGGGCGAGCGUUGUCCGGAUUUAUUGGGCGUAAAGAGCUCGUAGGCGGUUUGGCAAGUCGGGUGUGAAAACUCCGGGCUCAACUCGGAGACGCCACUCGAUACUGCCAUGACUCGAGUCCGGUAGGGGAGUGCGGAAUUCCUGGUGUAGCGGUGAAAUGCGCAGAUAUCAGGAGGAACACCAAUUGCGAAGGCAGCUCGCUGGGACGUUACUGACGCUGAGACGCGAAAGCGUGGGGAGCAAACAGG